CAAACCUUUAAAAGCGGUCCAGUGAGGCCGGCAAGGUGAUUCCCGGGUGGGAAUGCAGGCAGCAAUGCAAAGAUUGCUGAAUUUAUAGCCUUAUUGCCGGCCUCAGCCAGGUAUUACAACCUGGUUGGGGCUGUUUUA
rnacentral:sRNA from 1 species